rnacentral:rRNA from 1 species
AACGAACGCUGGCGGCAUGCCUAACACAUGCAAGUCGAACGAGACCUUCGGGUCUAGUGGCGCACGGGUGCGUAACGCGUGGGAACCUGCCCUUCGGUUCGGAAUAACUCCCCGAAAGGGGUGCUAAUACCGGAUAAUGUCUUCGGACCAAAGAUUUAUCGCCUUUGGAUGGGCCCGCGUUGGAUUAGCUAGUUGGUAGGGUAAAAGCCUACCAAGGCGACGAUCCAUAGCUGGUCUGAGAGGAUGAUCAGCCACACUGGGACUGAGACACGGCCCAGACUCCUACGGGAGGCAGCAAGGGGGAAUAUUGGACAAUGGGCGAAAGCCUGAUCCAGCAAAGCCGCGUGAGGGAUUAAGGCCUUAGGGUUGUAAAGCUCUUUUACCCGGGAUGAUAAUGACAGUACCGGGAGAAUAAGCUCCGGCUAACUCCGUG